GGCCUAACACAUGCAAGUCGAGCGGUAACAGGAAAAUGCUUGCAUUUUUGCUGACGAGCGGCGGACGGGUGAGUAAUGUCUGGGGAUCUGCCCGAGGGCGGGGGAUAACCACUGGAAACGGUGGCUAAUACCGCAUAAUGUCGCAAGACCAAAGUGGGGGACCUGAAAGGGCCUCACGCCCGCGGAUGAACCCAGAUGGGAUUAGCUGGUAGGUAGGGUAAUGGCCUACCUAGGCGACGAUCCCUAGCUGGUCUGAGAGGAUGACCAGCCACACUGGGACUGAGACACGGCCCAGACUCCUACGGGAGGCAGCAGUGGGGAAUAUUGCACAAUGGGCGCAAGCCUGAUGCAGCCAUGCCGCGUGUAUGAAGAAGGCCUUCGGGUUGUAAAGUACUUUCAGCGGGGAGGAAGGAUAUCGCUUGAACAGAGCGGUAUAUUGACGUUACCCGCAGAAGAAGCACCGGCUAAG
rnacentral:rRNA from 1 species